rnacentral:misc_RNA from 1 species
UACGUAGGGGGCAAGCGUUGUCCGGAAUUAUUGGGCGUAAAGCGCGCGCAGGCGGCCUCUUAAGUCUGAUGUGAAAGCCCCGGGCUCAACCUGGGAACGGCAUCCGGAACUGGCAAGCUAGAGUGCAGGAGAGGAAGGUAGAAUUCCCGGUGUAGCGGUGAAAUGCGUAGAGAUCGGGAGGAAUACCAGUGGCGAAGGCGGCCUUCUGGACUGAUACUGACGCUGAGGUGCGAAGACGUGGGGAGCAAGCAUG